rnacentral:miRNA from 1 species
GGGAGCAUGUAGGAUGGCCAU